AUUGAACGCUGGCGGCAGGCCUAACACAUGCAAGUCGAACGAGUGGCGGACGGGUGAGUAAUGUCUGGGAAACUCCCCGAUGGAGGGGGAUAACUACUGGAAACGGUAGCUAAUACCGCAUACCAUCGGAUGUGCCCAGAUGGGAUUAGCUAGUAGGUGGGGUAACGGCUCACCUAGGCGACGAUCCCUAGCUGGUCUGAGUGGAUGACGAGCCACAGGGGAGCUGGGACACGGUCCAUCAUCCUACGGGAGGCAGCGGUGGGGAAUAUUCGACAAUGGGCGCAAGCCAGAUGCAGCCAUGCCGCGUGUAUGAAGAAGGCCUUCGGGUUGUAAAGUACUUGCAGCGAGGAGGCGUUACUCGCAGAAGAAGCACCGGCUAACUCCGUGCCAGCAGCCGCGGUAAUAC
rnacentral:rRNA from 1 species